rnacentral:rRNA from 1 species
CCCAGAAGCGGCGAGUGAAGCGGCAAGAGCUCAGAUUUGAAAUCGUGUUUCGGCACGAGUUGUAGAGUGUAGGCGGGAGUCUCUGUGGAGCGCGGUGUCCAAGUCCCUUGGAACAGGGUGCCUGAGAGGGUGAGAGCCCCGUAGGGUGCUGCGCGAAGCUUUUGAGGCCCUGCUGACGAGUCGAGUUGUUUGGGAAUGCAGCUCCAAGCGGGUGGUAAAUUCCAUCUAAGGCUAAAUAUUGGCGAGAGACCGAUAGCGAACAAGUACUGUGAAGGAAAGAUGAAAAGCACUUUGAAAAGAGAGUGAAACAGCACGUGAAAUUGUUGAAAGGGAAGGGUAUUGGGCUCGACAUGGGGGGUGCGCACCGCUGUCUCUUGUAGGCGGCGCUCUGGGCGCCCUCUGGGCCAGCAUCGGUUCCUGCUGCGGGAGAAGGGGCUCCGGAAAGUGGCUCUUCGGAGUGUUAUAGCCGGGGCCAGAUGCCGCGUGUGGGGACCGAGGACUGCGGCUUCUGUCUCGGAUGCUGGCAUAACGG